rnacentral:rRNA from 1 species
UGCCAGCCGCCGCGGUAAGACGGAGGGUGCAAACGUUGUUCGGAAUUACUGGGCAUAAAGCGCACGUAGGCGGCCAGAUCAGUUUGGUGUGAAAGCCCUCGGCUCAACCGGGGAACUGCAUCGAAUACUGUCUGGCUCGAGGACGGUUGGGGUGAGUGGAACUCCUGGUGGAGCGGUGAAGUGCGUAGAUAUCAGGAGGAACACCAGUGGCGAAAGCGGCUCACUGGACCGUAUCUGACGCUGAGGUGCGAAAGCUAGGGUAGCGAACGGGAUUAGAUA